GCUGCCACAGCCUCAGGUUGGGAGACAAAUCUGAGGAACAGUUGGGGAAAGAAGAGCCUGACGCUGCCAAUCUAAAAACCAGGAGGCUUGCUUGGUUCAAGCAGAAAAGUACACAGGGAAACAUACUCGUGUCCUUGGUAGCUAAGGAACAGACUUUAUCACCAGAGAGAAGAGUUGUAGAUUUUGGCAGUCCUGAGCCUGGUGUAAGCAGAUGGAUCAACCUCUGGAAGCCUAUAGAGUCUAAGAACCCUGAAAUUCUAGCAGAAUCCAUGGCGUCUUCACCUGGAUCCCUCAUGCAGGGUGAUCAGUUCUUAGGUGGUCUGGAAAGGCAAGAGCUCUGAGUUAAAAUUGGAAUGUGGAAAUGAAAAGUGCGCUUGGAAGAGGAACACUAAAAGCCAUUUGCUUGGAUGUAUUCAUCAUUUGCUGGAUGCCAACUUGGAAAACAGAGCAGAGCUCUGAGGCCAUG
rnacentral:lncRNA from 1 species